rnacentral:rRNA from 1 species
UACGUAGGUGGCGAGCGUUGUCCGGAAUCAUUGGGCGUAAAGGGAGCGCAGGCGGGAAAUCAAGUCCAUCUUAAAAGUUCGGGGCUCAACCCCGUGAUGGGAUGGAAACUGGUUUUCUUGAGUGCAGGAGAGGAAAGCGGAAUUCCUAGUGUAGCGGUGAAAUGCGUAGAUAUUAGGAGGAACACCAGUGGCGAAGGCGGCUUUCUGGACUGUAACUGACGCUGAGGCUCGAAAGCGUGGGGAGC